UACGGAGGGAGCUAGCGUUGUUCGGAAUUACUGGGCGUAAAGCGCACGUAGGCGGCUUUGCAAGUUAGAGGUGAAAGCCCGGGGCUCAACUCCGGAAUUGCCUUUAAAACUGCAUCGCUAGAGUUGUGGAGAGGUAAGUGGAAUUCCGAGUGUAGAGGUGAAAUUCGUAGAUAUUCGGAAGAACACCAGUGGCGAAGGCGGCUCACUGGCCCGGUACUGACGCUGAGGUGCGAAAGCGUGGGGAGCAAACAGG
rnacentral:rRNA from 1 species